rnacentral:rRNA from 1 species
UACGAAGGGGGCUAGCGUUGUUCGGAAUUACUGGGCGUAAAGCGCGUGUAGGCGGGUCUUUUAAGUCAGGGGUGAAAUGCCAAGGCUCAACCUUGGAACUGCCUUUGAUACUGGAGACCUUGAGUCCGGGAGAGGUGAGUGGAACUGCGAGUGUAGAGGUGAAAUUCGUAGAUAUUCGCAAGAACACCAGUGGCGAAGGCGGCUCACUGGCCCGGUACUGACGCUGAGGCACGAAAGCGUGGGGAGCAAACAGG